rnacentral:rRNA from 1 species
UGGCGGCGUGCUUAACACAUGCAAGUCGAACGAGGUCCAACCAGUCGCAAGACUGGUGAAGACCGAGUGGCGAACGGGUGCGUAUCACGUGAGAAACCUGUCCCGGUCUCUGGAAUAACAGUCGGAAACGACUGCUAAUACCGGAUGCCGUCGGAGCGUCGCAUGGCGCGCUGACGAAAGGGCUACCGGAUCGGGAGGGUCUCGCGGCCUAUCAGCUUGUUGGUGAGGUAACGGCUCACCAAGGCAUCGACGGGUAGCUGGUCUGAGAGGAUGAUCAGCCACACUGGGACUGAGACACGGCCCAGACUCCUACGGGAGGCAGCAGUGGGGAAUCUUGCACAAUGGGCGAAAGCCUGGUGCAGCAACGCCGCGUGCGGGAUGAAGGCCCUAGGGUUGUAAACCGCUUUCAGCAGGGAAGAAAAUGACGGUACCUGUAGAAGAAGGUGCGGCCAACUACGUGCCAGCAGCCGCGGUGAUACGUAGGCACCAAGCGUUGUCCGGAUUUAUUGGGCGUAAAGAGCUCGUAGGCGGUUCGGUAAGUCGGGUGUGAAAACUCUGGGCUCAACCCAGAGAGGCCACCCGAUACUGCCGUGACUAGAGUGCGGUAGGGGAGUGGGGAAUUCCUGGUGUAGCGGUGAAAUGCGCAGAUAUCAGGAGGAACACCGGUGGCGAAGGCGCCACUCUGGGCCGUAACUGACGCUGAGGAGCGAAAGCGUGGGUAGCAAAC